UCCGAUCUGGUUGUCCAGGUUUAAGGUGGUAGGCUGAAAUCUUAGGCAAAUCCGGGAUUUCAAGGCCGAGAGCUGAUGACGAGUUGCCUUUAGGCGAUGAAGUGGUUGAUACCAUGCUUCCAAGAAAAGCUCCUAAGCUUCAGAUAACUGGGAACCGUACCCCAAACCGACACAGGUGGUUAGGUAGAGAAUACCAAGGCGCUUGAGAGAACUCGGGUGAAGGAACUAGGCAAAAUGGCACCGUAACUUCGGGAGAAGGUGCGCCGGCGAAGGUGAAGGGCUUGCCCCGUAAGCUUUUGCUGGUCGAAGAUACCAGGCCGCUGCGACUGUUUAUUAAAAACACAGCACUCUGCAAACACGAAAGUGGACGUAUAGGGUGUGACGCCUGCCCGGUGCCGGAAGGUUAAUUGAUGGGGUUAGCGCAAGCGAAGCUCUUGAUCGAAGCCCCGGUAAACGGCGGCCGUAACUAUAACGGUCCUAAGGUAGCGAAAUUCCUUGUCGGGUAAGUUCCGACCUGCACGAAUGGCGUAACGAUGGCGGCGCUGUCUCCACCCGAGACUCAGUGAAAUUGAAAUCGCUGUGAAGAUGCAGUGUAUCCGCGGCUAGACGGAAAGACCCCGUGAACCUUUACUAUAGCUUUGCACUGGACUUUGAAUUUGCUUGUGUAGGAUAGGUGGGAGGCUUUGAAGUGGGGACGCCAGUUCUCAUGGAGCCAUCCUUGAAAUACCACCCUGGCAACUUUGAGGUUCUAACUCAGGUCCGUUAUCCGGAUCGAGGACAGUGUAUGGUGGGUAGUUUGACUGGGGCGGUCUCCUCCCAAAGAGUAACGGAGGAGUACGAAGGUGCGCUCAGACCGGUCGGAAAUCGGUCGUAGAGUAUAAAGGCAAAAGCGCGCUUGACUGCGAGACACACACGUCGAGCAGGUACGAAAGUAGGUCUUAGUGAUCCGGUGGUUCUGUAUGGAAGGGCCAUCGCUCAACGGAUAAAAGGUACUCCGGGGAUAACAGGCUGAUACCGCCCAAGAGUUCACAUCGACGGCGGUGUUUGGC
rnacentral:rRNA from 1 species